rnacentral:rRNA from 1 species
CCAAGAAUGUUUCCGUUAAUCAAGAACGAAAGUUAGAGGUUCGAAGGCGAUCAGAUACCGCCCUAGUUCUAACCAUAAACGAUGCCAGCCAGCGAUCCGCCGAAGUUCCUCCGAUGACUCGGCGGGCAGCUUCCGGGAAACCAAAGCUUUUGGGUUCCGGGGGAAGUAUGGUUGCAAAGCUGAAACUUAAAGGAAUUGACGGAAGGGCACCACCAGGAGUGGAGCCUGCGGCUUAAUUUGACUCAACACGGGAAACCUCACCAGGCCCGGACACCGGAAGGAUUGACAGAUUGAGAGCUCUUUCUUGAUUCGGUGGGUGGUGGUGCAUGGCCGUUCUUAGUUGGUGGAGCGAUUUGUCUGGUUAAUUCCGGUAACGAACGAGACUCUAGCCUGCUAAAUAGACGAUUUCCGGUAUCCACAAUAGUGCUACCGGCGAAAUCAAUAUCUUCUUAGAGGGACAGGCGGCUUUCAGCCGCACGAAACUGAGCAAUAACAGGUCUGUGAUGCCCUUAGAUGUCCUGGGCCGCACGCGCGCUACACUGAAGGAAUCAGCGUGUACACCCUGGCCGAAAGGCUCGGGCAACCCGUUGAACCUCCUUCGUGCUAGGGAUUGGGGCUUGCAAUUGUUCCCCAUGAACGAGGAAUUCCCAGUAAGCGCGAGUCAUAAGCUCGCGUUGAUUACGUCCCUGCCCUUUGUACACACCGCCCGUCGCUACUACCGAUUGAAUGAUUUAGUGAGGUCUUCGGACUGGUGCGCGGCGGCCGCCUGCGCGGCCGCCGAUGCCACCGGGAAGAUGACC